AUCCAACUCCCUCCGUUUCAAAUUAUUUGUCGCUGAAAUGGAUAUAUCUAGAACUAAAAUACAUCUAGAUACAUCCAUACGGACGACAAGUAAUUCGAAACGGAGGGAGUAGAUA
rfam:Triticum aestivum genome assembly, contig: Triticum_aestivum_CS42_TGACv1_scaffold_320400_4BL